CAAAACUGAAGUUUGUUAUGCAAAGCUUAACCCCAUUGGAAACCUGUGACCAAAUCCCAUUCCGCACUUUGUUGAAAGAGAGCCAGACUCCGAUCCGGUUACACUUCAUAAAUUUAAAGAAUUAUGAGCCGUGACCCAGACGGAAGCGGAAUGCAAUUCAGCGAAGUGGCCAGGACGCAGUGAGUCCGAAGGAAGGAGGUCAACAGGUAAUAACGGUUGCACGAUUGGCUGGCCCUGACAAUUUCCGCUAGAUUUACAACCCUAGUGGAAAGGGGUGAUAUCGGAUUGCAAGCAUACUCUUUACGUUAUAUCCCCAUUUUGUGGUCGGUCUACUAACAAUCGAUGCUAGUUGAGCAUUGAUUUUCGCUGAUUUCGAAGGAAAGUUCAAGAGUCGCUGGCUGAAGUUCAAAGGCUUGGCUUUAAUUGAGUUGCCACUGGGUUCAUGCAUAUGCAGGGCGCAAUUAAAAGUGCGCCAAGAAAAAGCGAGAAAGACAAACACUGGCGGAGGAAAACUCCUUGGAGGGGAGGAAAAUGUCUGCGAGUGACUCAAGUCGAGUCUCCUGUCUGUUGACAUUUCGCGGUAUGGAAAAAAUUAAAUUAAAAUGCAAAUUAGGCAUUCCUGCCGAGGAGUCUGGCCUGCAGUCUGCGAUCCCCUUUUGCGGUCCUUGCUUUUCCUCCUGGCGUCCUGGCGUCUUUGGCAAAAGUGACAAAUUGUUGUAAACACUGCAAGUUACGUAUACGCCUCGUGGGACCUCGUGGGAUAGUCACCUACGAAAAGCGGGUUCAAAGGGGCGAGUAGAGGGAGCUCCACCUAUUGUAUACAUAUUUUAACACAAGCCAAGAAGUGCCGACUUAGGGCCAAGAUGAAUGUUUUUAUUUCUGCGCCUUUCGCCGUUCGUCCUUCUUUUCUGCGGUAAAUUAUGCAAAGUAGUUGCGUAAUGCUCUUGUUACAAUAAUUUAAUCUUGUAAUCUGUUUCUGUUCGACUAACGGCAAGUGCCAUAAAUAAUUCAGCUGGCCCGCUGCUGCAGAUGCCGGAGGGAAAU
ensembl:ncRNA lncRNA:CR46236 long non-coding RNA:CR46236